ACGUGCAAACGGAACGACGUGAGGCGGCUCGGAGCGACGUGGGGCGAGGCGACGUGCGAAGUCGCCGGGAGACUAUGGGCGGGACGAGAGGACGAGGCGGCAUCUGGAGGACAGAUUCCCAGCCCAGCUUCUGCUCCAAAGAGGCUCAGAAAACAGCCUGGGAAAAAAAAAGAAUUCUCCGUAAUGAGGGGGGACACGGGUUCGAGCCCAGGUCCGGGAAGAUCCCACGUGCCACGGAGCAACUAAGCCCGUGCACCACAACUACUGAGCCUGCACUCUAGAGCCUGCGAGCCACAACCACUGAAGCCCGCGUGCCUAGAGCCCGUGCUCCGCAACAAGAGAAACCACCGCAGUGAGAAGCCCGCGCACCGCAGUGAAGAGUGGCCCCCGCUCGCCACAACUAGAGAAAGCCCACGCAGCAAUGAAGAUCCAACACAGCCAAAAAUAAAUAUAUUAAAAAAAAACAAACAAACCUGGAUUCAUGCAGGGGAAUGAACUAUAAAAUCUGAUGUGGAUACCUGAAUCUAUUCAUUUAAAGCUUAAUCUGCCACUGCCUGGAGCUUAGAAAAAAGAUCGUGCCCUGCGAGCCCAGAAGGGUCUUAGGAUUCUAAUGCUGCCCACCUGCCCCAGGUGAAGUUCCAGGUCAGUCACACCCACGCGGCAGAGCUCAGUCCAGUCUCCCGCCCACACCGCGACAUCCGGGUCUUUUAAAAAGACCCCAGAUUCCAGGGACGCUCCAGCAGGCCCUGUCUCCCAGGCAAGACCCGGACAGCGAAGGCGCGAGGUCAGAGAGCGUAGUGCCCCCGCCCCAGUCCUACGGCCAGCCACGCCGGAGCCAGGCCCCAAAGCCCGCCGACCACACCUCCCAGCCACGCCCCCAAACCGCCGACCACACCUUCCAGCCACGCCCUAAGCCCGCCUGCCGUGCCCAAGGCCACGUCCCAAGCCCCACAGCUUGGUCCUCCUCUGCUAGCCCCGCCCAAUCAACUAGGCCGCGCUCACAUCUCCGGCGUUCGGUUCGCGGCCGGGAACUCUGGGCGCCAGGAGUGCGCAUGCGAGAAGCCACCUGACGGGCAGGUUGCCGAGGCCCCACCCAUCGCGGGCGGGCUUGGGAUGGAGCCUCCUUCAGCAGCGGAGUCUGGGUGGUCGGGUGUGGGGCCUGUGUGGUGGGGAAGGUUGCUGGCCUGCUUCAGCGUGGGGAGUGUGAAAAUUAAUACACAGAAACCUCAUUUAAGAUGGAGCCGGGAGGCCAGAAGGGAUAGCUCUGGGCACCACUCCCCCUCGAUUGGAGAUCCAGCAGGAAAAAGGGCACAACCUCGCUACAGACGGGGAAGGAAGACUUUCUCCGAGUCUGGAAACAGCCCAGCCAAUGGGAAGCUACUACACUUCCAACUUGGGGUUCCCUCCAAUGGGCUCUUUGUUUAUAACAAGCAGCCACGCCCAACUCCCCCUUCUCCUCUAUAAAAGAGUUUCCCCUGCUUUGUUCUCUGGACUUGCCUGUGGUUUGCCAUAGA